ACUGAGGACCUGAGGUUGUCACAGCCGGACGGUGUGGGAGCUGGCACUGCUGGGGCUCCUGCUGCCUGGGACACGUACGGCUGCCCAGCGAUCCUGAACGCCGACCCCUGUGCACCUCAGUGUCCGUGACUGUGGAGCAGAGGGCAUCUUGAAGCAGACCAGCCACAUUGCAAGUGCUUGGAGGCCACGGAUGACUGGUGGCUGCUGUUCUGGGAGACAGAAUCCUAUAGCGUCCCCAGUCCUGCAGCACACAGGUGGGACAAUUCCAGCUCGAUGUCUCAGCCAGCAGGUUCCCACGUCCUCCCCGCCUCUUCCAGGCAGGAGGCAGAGUGACCCAGGUAACCAGCUCCGAGGUUUGCAGUUAUCGGGAGGAAGUUUCCAAUUGCUGGCUCACAUGUGGGAAAAUAUGAAAACAAGGCCAUAAAAAAAAGAACUCCUACUAAUGAAACCUCCUAGAUUCCAAGGACGAAAACGUAGCUCUGAGACCAAGUCCGUUUUCGCCCUUGCAUCUGAAAGGGAGUCUGGGGAAAUGCUAAUUUUGAACUUUCUAUACACCCUUCCUGCCUCUGGAUGUGGCCGCCUGACUCGAAUUCCUUUGCACAAUAAAAUGAGGGAGA